CGGCCCGGGAACGGCGCCGAUCACCCAGCGACGCGCCUCUUGCCAUUUGCAUCCGAAACGACUCUCGGCAACGGAUAUCUCGGCUCUCGCAUCGAUGAAGAACGUAGCGAAAUGCGAUACUUGGUGUGAAUUGCAGAAUCCCGUGAACCAUCGAGUCUUUGAACGCAAGU
rnacentral:rRNA from 1 species